UCUUCCGUAGUAUAGUGGUCAGUAUGCAAGCUUGUCACGCUUGAGACCCGGGUUCAAUUCCCGGCGGGGAGAG
rnacentral:tRNA from 1 species